rfam:Myotis lucifugus cont2.962, whole genome shotgun sequence.
GGCAGUUCUCAUGUGACACCCCAGAAUUGGGCUCCCUCCUCUCUGGUUCCGGGUGUGUCACCGAGAACUGCA